rnacentral:rRNA from 1 species
AGCGUACACGGUGGAUGCCCUGGCAGUCAGAGGCGAUGAAGGACGUGCUAAUCUGCGAAAAGCGUCGGUAAGGUGAUAUGAACCGUUACAGCCGGCGAUGUCCGAAUGGGGAAACCCAGUGCAAUUCGUUGCACUAUCGUUAACUGAAUACAUAGGUUAACGAGGCGAACCGGGGGAACUGAAACAUCUAAGUACCCCGAGGAAAAGAAAUCAACCGAGAUUCCCCCAGUAGCGGCGAGCGAACGGGGAGCAGCCCAGAGUCUGAAUCAGCUUGUGUGUUAGUGGAACGGUCUGGAAAGUCCGACGGUACAGGGUGAUAGUCCCGUACACCAAAAUGCACAGGUUGUGAACUCGAAGAGUAGGGCGGGACACGUGGUAUCCUGUCUGAAUAUGGGGGGACCAUCCUCCAAGGCUAAAUACUCCUGACUGACCGAUAGUGAACCAGUACCGUGAGGGAAAGGCGAAAAGAACCCCGGCGAGGGGAGUGAAAAAGAACCUGAAACCGUGUACGUACAAGCAGUGGGAGCACCUUCGGGUGUGACUGCGUACCUUUUGUAUAAUGGGUCAGCGACUUAUAUUCUGUAGCAAGGUUAACCGUAUAGGGGAGCCGCAGGGAAACCGAGUCUUAACUGGGCGUUAAGUUGCAGGGUAUAGACCCGAAACCCGGUGAUCUAGCCAUGGGCAGGUUGAAGGUUGGGUAACACUAACUGGAGGACCGAACCGACUAAUGUUGAAAAAUUAGCGGAUGACUUGUGGCUGGGGGUGAAAGGCCAAUCAAACCGGGAGAUAGCUGGUUCUCCCCGAAAGCUAUUUAGGUAGCGCCUCGUGAAUUCAUCUUCGGGGGUAGAGCACUGUUUCGGCUAGGGGGUCAUCCCGACUUACCAACCCGAUGCAAACUACGAAUACCGAAGAAUGUUAUCACGGGAGACACACGGCGGGUGCUAACGUCCGUCGUGAAGAGGGAAACAACCCAGACCGCCAGCUAAGGUCCCAAAGUCACAGUUAAGUGGGAAACGAUGUGGGAAGGCACAGACAGCCAGGAUGUUGGCUUAGAAGCAGCCAUCAUUUAAAGAAAGCGUAAUAGCUCACUGGUCGAGUCGGCCUGCGCGGAAGAUGUAACGGGGCUAAACUGUGCACCGAAGCUGCGGCAGCGACACUUAGGUGUUGUUGGGUAGGGGAGCGUUCUGUAAGCCUGCGAAGGUGGCCUGUGAGGGUUGCUGGAGGUAUCAGAAGUGCGAAUGCUGACAUAAGUAACGAUAAUGCGGGUGAAAAGCCCGCACGCCGGAAGACCAAGGGUUCCUGUCCAACGUUAAUCGGGGCAGGGUGAGUCGACCCCUAAGGCGAGGCCGAAAGGCGUAGUCGAUGGGAAACAGGUUAAUAUUCCUGUACUUGGUGUUACUGCGAAGGGGGGACGGAGAAGGCUAUGUUAGCCGGGCGACGGUUGUCCCGGUUUAAGCAUGUAGGCGGAGGUUCCAGGUAAAUCCGGUACCUUUUAACGCUGAGGUGUGAUGACGAGGCACUACGGUGCUGAAGUAACAAAUGCCCUGCUUCCAGGAAAAGCCUCUAAGCAUCAGGUAACAUUGAAUCGUACCCCAAACCGACACAGGUGGUCAGGUAGAGAAUACCAAGGCGCUUGAGAGAACUCGGGUGAAGGAACUAGGCAAAAUGGUGCCGUAACUUCGGGAGAAGGCACGCUGAUAUGUAGGUGAAGCCCCUGCGGGUGGAGCUGAAAUCAGUCGAAGAUACCAGCUGGCUGCAACUGUUUAUUAAAAACACAGCACUGUGCAAACACGAAAGUGGACGUAUACGGUGUGACGCCUGCCCGGUGCCGGAAGGUUAAUUGAUGGGGUUAUCCGUAAGGAGAAGCUCUUGAUCGAAGCCCCGGUAAACGGCGGCCGUAACUAUAACGGUCCUAAGGUAGCGAAAUUCCUUGUCGGGUAAGUUCCGACCUGCACGAAUGGCGUAAUGAUGGCCAGGCUGUCUCCACCCGAGACUCAGUGAAAUUGAACUCGCUGUGAAGAUGCAGUGUACCCGCGGCAAGACGGAAAGACCCCGUGAACCUUUACUAUAGCUUGACACUGAACAUUGAGCCUUGAUGUGUAGGAUAGGUGGGAGGCUUUGAAGCGUGGACGCCAGUCUGCGUGGAGCCAACCUUGAAAUACCACCCUUUAAUGUUUGAUGUUCUAACGUUGGCCCCUAAUCGGGGUUGCGGACAGUGUCUGGUGGGUAGUUUGACUGGGGCGGUCUCCUCCCAAAGAGUAACGGAGGAGCACGAAGGUUAGCUAAUCCUGGUCGGACAUCAGGAGGUUAGUGCAAUGGCAUAAGCUAGCUUGACUGCGAGCGUGACGGCGCGAGCAGGUGCGAAAGCAGGUCAUAGUGAUCCGGUGGUUCUGAAUGGAAGGGCCAUCGCUCAACGGAUAAAAGGUACUCCGGGGAUAACAGGCUGAUACCGCCCAAGAGUUCAUAUCGACGGCGGUGUUUGGCACCUCGAUGUCGGCUCAUCACAUCCUGGGGCUGAAGUAGGUCCCAAGGGUAUGGCUGUUCGCCAUUUAAAGUGGUACGCGAGCUGGGUUUAGAACGUCGUGAGACAGUUCGGUCCCUAUCUGCCGUGGGCGCUGGAGAAUUGAGGGGGGCUGCUCCUAGUACGAGAGGACCGGAGUGGACGCAUCACUGGUGUUCGGGUUGUCAUGCCAAUGGCAUUGCCCGGUAGCUAAAUGCGGAAGAGAUAAGUGCUGAAAGCAUCUAAGCACGAAACUUGCCCCGAGAUGAGUUCU